GACGUAGGGUGCCAGCGUUGUUCGGAAUUACUGGGUGUAAAGGGUUCGUAGGCGGUGUAGCAAGUCGGGAGUGAAAUCUCUGGGCUUAACCCAGAGGCUGCUUCCGAAACUGCUGUGCUUGAGUGUGGGAGAGGCGCGUGGAAUUGCAGGUGUAGCGGUGAAAUGCGCAGAUAUCAGGAAGAACACCCGUGGCGAAGGCGGCUCUCUGGGACGGUACUGACGCUGAGACGCGAAAGCGUGGGGAGCGAACGGG
rnacentral:rRNA from 1 species